AUGGGAAUUUUCUCUUUACAGCAUGUUUGACACGCAAAAAAUAGAAAAAAACAAACAAAGAGAUUUGCUAAAUAGCUUAGCAACGCUUAGAACUGUUCAAAAAAGAAGGUUGUUUUGCCGCUCUUGAAUAUCUAGGUGCACAAUUUAAUGUUAUUAUUAUCCUUCAGAAAAUAUAAUAUUGGUUGUAUUGUCUGUCUGGCAAAGAGUUGAAUUUCCUUCAUAUUCCAUAUUAUAGAUGCGUAGGAAAUGUAUUUAAUAUAUUCCAAUAGUGAAAAGGAGUUCAUAUUUAUCUACAAGUAUUCAUAUUUAUAAACAAGUAUUCCUAUAAUUAGGCUAACGAAAUAGGAAUAUGGAACCUUAUAAUUAUGCUAAUUAAUUAGAAAUAGAAUAAUACAACAUCUAAACUAUAGUUGACUUUCAUAACAAUUUUCCUCAAGUUGGAGUAUAUAUGUUAAUCAUGUCUAACUUGUUAAAAUAUCAUUAAUCCGUGCUCUACUCAUAGUUUUUGUAAAAAUAUCUGCUAAUUAUUUUCUAAUAUUGACAUGUAUUGUUGAGAUGAUUUUCUAUUGAAUCUUUUCAUGAACAAAAUAAUAGUCAAUUUCAAUAUGUUUAGUUCAUGAAAUACUUGACUAAAUGUAAUAUGGAUAGCUGCCUAUUAUCAUACCACAACUUAGUAACCAAUGAUGUAUUGAAACCAACUUCAUCUAAUAAUUAAUGUACCCAUUAUACUUCACACAAAGCUUGUGCCUUAAUUUCAUAUUUAAAUUGAACGCUCAAGCGAGAAACCAUACUCGCCUCCCAAAAAAUACAAUAUUUUAUAGUCGUUUCCUAUCAAUUUCCAAACCUGCUCAAUUUGCUUCAAAAAAGCCAUUACUGUUUGAAUUCCAUGAUCACUGUAUGCGAGACCAAGCCCUGGGCUGCCUUCAAGGAAUGCAAUGUCUGUCCCAAAGCUUUUCAAAGAGCAACGGUAGCGGAUGACAUAAACUCACUUAUGAUGUUUAUAGAGUACACAAUAUCAGAACAAGCCACUAUGAUGUCUUAUAAGAAGAUAAGGAUCCUAAUUCCUAAUAUAAUUUAGAAAUUUUAUUUAUUUUAAAUUAGGAAAUGCAGGGUUUAGUUAUAUAGGAAGUUUACUAUUUUUAACCUUUGUUUGUGUCUUCUUCUUCUUAUUAUUAUUUCCGAAUAAGUUAUUUAAUAUUUCUGAUUAGUUAAGAUUUCUUUCCUAAGUUGGUUAGGGUUGGGAUUUUUUAGUAUUCCUAAUUAGUUAGGUUUUCCAUUCCUAAUUUGAUAAGGUUUGUAUAUAUAAACAGGGCUAAUUUUAGAUUUUUUUUUUUUUGUAGCUUUGGAUUAUGAUAACUAUUUUGAAUAAAUACCAGUGAGAAUGAGUUCUCUUUUUCUACGAGGAUUUCUUAUUUUCUUUGUUCUUCCAUGUUCUACAUCUAGUUGUAUCAAAGCUUUCAACCCACCUUUAUCAAUGCCUUUAAAAUUAUACUAACCCUCAAAACUUUUCUGCGUUAGUUGCUAAAAAAGGACAAAGAUGCUUCGUACCUCAAGGCUAGCCACUGUUCCUCACCAAAUGUCAACGUCCAAUAACCAAAAUGGACCCGCCGCAGCCAAGAUCACCUCCCUAGCCAUAAGCAACUCUAGAACACCUAGUCUAGUCUGGAAGAGUGCCAUCUCAUCAGCUCAAAAAAUGACCCCACUCAAAUUUAACUAUGCCUUGUCUCUUUUUGGCAUCUAGGCCCAAUCUCCCUAUUAUCGAAUGUUGAUCUUCCCAUUCCUAUCAUUAAAAACUUUCUUUCAAUUCUCCAGCUCUAAGAACCUGUUAGGUCGGGCCUCAGAUUUGUGCCCAUACUUAGACAAGCUCACAAAGGUUAAUGUGACCUUGGUUCCAUCAAAUCUUUCUUUCAACCUUCAACAUGUUAGCUUCCACGUCAUUGUUGAGUCACUGCUAUGUUAUCAGAUUGCCAAAUCAUCCUUUGCCACAUCUUUAAAAAAAAAAAAAAAGAGUUGGACAGUGUUCUAGCUAAUU